rnacentral:lncRNA from 1 species
GAGGAGUCCCUGAGAACAGGGAGGAUUCCCCUGCAGCCUCUCUUCAUUACAGACAAUAGAAUUUUUUCCCCUGGGGAUUGAAUCCAGGGCCUGAUACCUGCCAGGCAAGCGCUAUGCCAAUAAGCUACAUCUCCAGCCCUCUUAUUUUUGAGACAGGGUCUCACCAAGUGUCCAGUCUGGCACUGAAUUUGUAGUCCUUCUGCCUCAGCCUCUCAAGUACCUGGAAUUACAGGCAUCUGCCACCAUACCCAGCUCAGCUUACAAAAUUCUAUGGGGACACAAGAACUUACAACAAUGUGAAUAUUCACAAUAUCCAAAAAGUGGAAACAGUUCACACCUCCGGCUAAUGAAUGGAUAAACAAAAUGUGGUCUAUCCAUAUACAAUGGAGUGGCUUUUUAACCAUGGAAUGAUGUACUCAUACAUACGAAGAAACAGUGAACCUUGAAAAUGUGCUAAAUGGUAGAAGCCAGUCGUGAAAGAACACAUUUGACUCCAUUUAUGUGAAAUAUGCAGGAGACUCCAGAGACAGAAAGCAAGUCAGUGGCUGCCACAGCCUGAGACGGGGCGGGAGGCAAUGAAAACAUUCUAAAAUAGGUUAUGGUGAUUUUAGCACAACAUUACGAAUAUACUUCUUUUAAAAACUUUAUUUUUUUUAUGUGGUGCCAAGUGCCUCACACGUGCUAGGCAAGUGCUCUACCACCCUACCACCGAGCAACAACCCCAAC